CCUACGGGUGGCAGCAGUGGGGAAUAUUUCACAAUGGGGGAAACCCUGAUGCAGCGACGCCGCGUGAAGGAAGAAGUAUUUCGGUAUGUAAACUUCUUUCAUCAGGGAAGAAAAUUACGGUACCUAACUAAUAAGCCCCGGCUAACUACGUGCCAGCAGCCGCGGUAAUACGUAGGGUGCAAGCGUUAUCCGGAUGUACUGGUUGUAAAGGGAGCGUAGGCGGUUUAGCAAGUCAGAAGUGAAAUGCCGGAGCUCAACUCCGGGACUGCUUUUGAAACUGUUGAACUAGAUUGCAGGAGAGGUAAGGGGAAUUCCUAGUGUAGCGGUGAAAUGCGUAGAUAUUAGGAGGAACACCAGUGGCGAAGGCGGCUUACUGGACUGUAAAUGACGCUGAGGCUCGAAAGCGUGGGGAGCAAACAGGAUUAGAUACCCGUGUAGUC
rnacentral:rRNA from 1 species